UACGUAGGGUCCGAGCGUUGUCCGGAGUUACUGGGCGUAAAGCGCGCGCAGGCGGUCCGCGAGGUGUCACGUGAAAGCCCCGGGCUCAACUCGGGAGGGUCGUGGCAAACCGGCGGACUUGAGGCCGGUAGAGGUGGGUGGAACUCCUGGUGGAGUGGUGAAAUGCGUAGAGAUCAGGAGGAACACCGGUGGCGAAGGCGGGUCUCUGGGCCGAUACUGACGCUGAGGAGCGAAAGCGUGGGGAGCGAACAGG
rnacentral:rRNA from 1 species